UGGGAAGUCUAGAGGUGGACUGACCUAAUGAAAGUAGACUGAGAGGCAGGCAGCAGGACAUGGGAAGUCUAGAGGUGGACUGACCUAAUGAAAGUAGACUGAGAGGCAGGCAGCAGGACAUGGGAAGUCUAGAGGUGGACUGACCUAAUGAAAGUAGACUGAGAGGCAGGCAGCAGGACAUGGGAAGUCUAGAGGUGGACUGACCUAAUGAAAGUAGACUGAGAGGCAGGCAGCAGGACAUGGGAAGUCUAGAGGUGGACUGACCUAAUGAAAGUAGACUGAGAGGCAGGCAGCAGGACAUGGGAAGUCUAGAGGUGGACUGACCUAAUGAAAGUAGACUGAGAGGCAGGCAGCAGGACAUGGGAAGUCUAGAGGUGGACUGACCUAAUGAAAGUAGACUGAGAGGCAGGCAGCAGGACAUGGGAAGUCUAGAGGUGGACUGACCUAAUGAAAGUAGACUGAGAGGCAGGCAGCAGGACAUGGGAAGUCUAGAGGUGGACUGACCUAAUGAAAGUAGACUGAGAGGCAGGCAGCAGGACAUGGGAAGUCUAGAGGUGGACUGACCUAAUGAAAGUAGACUGAGAGGCAGGCAGCAGGACAUGGGAAGUCUAGAGGUGGACUGACCUAAUGAAAGUAGACUGAGAGGCAGGCAGCAGGACAUGGGAAGUCUAGAGGUGGACUGACCUAAUGAAAGUAGACUGAGAGGCAGGCAGCAGGACAUGGGAAGUCUAGAGGUGGACUGACCUAAUGAAAGUAGACUGAGAGGCAGGCAGCAGGACAUGGGAAGUCUAGAGGUGGACUGACCUAAUGAAAGUAGACUGAGAGGCAGGCAGCAGGACAUGGGAAGUCUAGAGGUGGACUGACCUAAUGAAAGUAGACUGAGAGG